rnacentral:rRNA from 1 species
AUACGGAGGAUGCGAGCGUUAUCCGGAUUUAUUGGGUUUAAAGGGAGCGUAGGCGGGAGCUUAAGUCAGCGGUUAAAUGGUGCGGCUCAACCGUGCCCUGCCGUUGAAACUGGGUUUCUUGAGAGUGCAAGAGGCGGAUGGGAUUCAUGGGGGAGCGGUGAAAUGCUUAGAUAUCAUGAAGAACUCCGAUUGCGAAGGCAGUACGAUGGUGCACGUCGGACGCUGAUGCUCGAAGGUGCGGGAAUCAAGCAGGAUUAGAUACCCUGGUAGUCCGCACGGUAAACGAUGAUUACCCGCUGUCGGCGGCAGACAGUCGGCGGCCAAGCGAAAGCGAUAAGUAAUCCGCCUGGGGAGUACGCUGGCAACGGUGAAACUCAAAGGAAUUGACGGGG